AUUGGCGUAUAUUAAAGUUGUUGCGGUUAAAAAGCUCGUAGUUGGAUCUGUGUAUCGGACGGUCGGUUCGCCGCUCGCGGCGUUUAACUGACCGUUUCCGGACGUCCUGCCGGUGGUCUUGGUCCCGCAAGGGUCCUCGGCCGUUCCCUCCCUCCGGGCUUCUCUUAACCGGGUGGCCCGGUGGGCCGGCACGUUUACUUUGAACAAAUUUGAGUGCUCAAAGCAGGCCUACAGACGCCUGAAAACUGUGUGCAUGGAAUAAUGGAAUAGGACCUCUUUUCUAUUUUGUUGGCUUUUCUGAAACAGAGGUAAUGAUUAAUAGGGACAGACGGGGGCAUUCGUAUUGCGACGUUAGAGGUGAAAUUCUUGGAUCGUCGCAAGACGGACGGAUGCGAAAGCGUUUGCCAAGAAUGUUUUCGCUAAUCAAGAACGAAAGUUAGAGGUUCGAAGGCGAUCAGAUACCGCCCUAGUUCUAACCAUAAACGAUGCCAGCCAGCGAUGCGCCGAAGUUCCUCCGAUGACUCGGCGCGCAGCUUCCGGGAAACCAAAGCUUUUGGGUUCC
rnacentral:rRNA from 1 species